GGCUGGUUAGCUCAGUCAGUUGAGCGUGGCGCUAACGCCACGGUCACGGGUUCAAUUCCCGUUCACUCCC
rnacentral:tRNA from 1 species